rnacentral:misc_RNA from 1 species
UACGAAGGGUGCAAGCGUUAAUCGGAAUUACGGGGCGUAAAGCGCGCGCAGGUGGUUUGUUAAGUUGGAUGUGAAAGCCCCGGGCUCAACCUGGGAACUGCAUCCAAAACUGGCAGGCUAGAGUAUGGCAGAGGGUGGUGGAAUUUCCUGUGUAGCGGUGAAAUGCGUAGACAUAGGAAGGAACACCAGUGGCGAAGGCGACCACCGGGACUGAUACUGACACUGAGGUGCGAAAGCGUGGGGAGCAAACAGG